rnacentral:rRNA from 1 species
AAAGGGAGCGUAGGCGGCUGAUUAAGUCAGCGGUGAAAGGUAGCAGCUUAACUGUUUUACAUGCCGUUGAUACUGGUUAGCUUGAGUUGACAGAAGGCAGAUAGAAUUCCUGAUGUAGCGGUGAAAUGCUUAGAUAUCAGGAGGAAUACCGAUUGCGAAGGCAGUCUGCUGCAGUCACACUGACGCUGAGGCUCGAAGGUGCGGGGAUCAAACAGGAUUAGAUACCCUGU